AUACAUGUGCCGGACUUAUAAACUGAAACGGAGGGACUAUAUGUUCUUAUUAGUUCAGUAUUUGAUAUGUGGGCUAUGUGUCCACAACGAUAUUAAAUUUAUUUUUUAUGGGGGAGGGAUCAUCACAAUGGCUUGCCAUUGGGUCCCUCUACAGCCCAGGCAGGCGCACCCCAA
rnacentral:snRNA from 1 species